AGGUCAUAAGGGGACCACUGCCUUCCGAAUGAAUAUGAGUAUCUUCAUGGAAAAAAUAUUUUGAGAGGAAAAAAAGAACUUUGGCUGGGUGUGCGGAAUGGAGAACCCUUUGUUCUAUUAUUUAUGGAGACAUCACAGAACAGCCGGUUGGAGCUAAGGAAGCACCAAAAUAAUGUACCAGGCUAACCAAUCAGAAGGCCAUGGUCCCCCUUGGCUGCCUGUUUAUCCAGACACCGGAAGAAUUACUCAAGACCUAACUUUCUUUUUAUUGCACUUCUUAGGAGUACCAGGUCCAACCAUCGGCUCGUCCAGCUCCGGUCCCAUGGGGAUCACAUACGUGUGAGUACAAAGCGACAUUUUAUUGAUUUAUUCUUAUUUUUUUAAAUUUUAUUUGUUUUUAA